UCGUAUUGCGUGUCUGUCACCCUCCCUCCUGCUGUUUGGAGGCGGAGAUCCAGCUCUUGGGGGAGGAGGAGAAUCAGCAGCAGUAACAUCGGCUGCAGCAUAGGCUGAGUAAGAACUGGGAAAGAGGGCAAACAAAGAGAGUGCGCCCCUGAGAGGGAGGAGAUAGACACCGGGCACACAAAUACACCCGUCUGCCAAAAACUGUGGCACUCUUUACGGAACGACAGUUUUUUCCAGAUGGAUCUUCUCCUGUUUGUACCGAAAGAAUGCACAUUUAUAUGAGAUCCAGAUGCAGUCAUGAGAACGCUUGACAUUUGCAGCCAUCUGAAACGUAUUACUCUUGGAUUAAGGAACAUUUUUGUCUUACCGACUUUAGAUCCGAUCUUUUGAGCUCUUCUGUAGUAUAAAAUGGGGAAAGUAUGCUAUCUUCUUCACAGAAUGCCUAAAAAUGGACGUACAUGGGAAAGGUUAAAUUCAACAUGCAUUCUGCAUCUAGUUUUUAUUUAGGAUUAUGAUGCUUCUGGAACUUAAACCAAACUUUUGCCCUAAGGUUUAUUUGGCUUCAAAUGCUAAAUAAUUUAAGUUUUUGUUGGGAGAUCACAUCAACCCAAUAGCUAAAAUGGCUCAAACCAGCUUAUUAAAAGGAAAACCAUUCUACUGUAGGGAAUGGAUUUUCCAUAAACUCCAGCACUGUCUUCAGGAGAAAAUAAGUUGCGGCAACACUACAGCAAACAAACUUUCAAUUGUGGCUAAUUCUGGCAACAAUGGCGGCAGCACUGGGAAAGGAGCAGCUUGGGGUUUGUUGUUUGUUGGUGGCCCAGGUAGUGGUAAAACUGCUCUUUGUACGGAAUUGAUAUGGCCGAGUUCCCCUGCUGGUUUACAAAGAGGUUUACACCUUCAGGCUUUGGCAUUUCAUUUUUGUAGGGCCCAGGACUCGGACACACUUUGUGUAGGAAGCUUUAUUAGGACUUUGGUUGAACAGAUCUGUCGAAGUGGGCUGAUGCCAGGAUAUGAGGAAAAAUUAAAUGAUCCUUCAGUUCAGAGCCUUUUACAACCUGGGGAAUGUGAACGAAAUCCAUCAGAAGCAUUUAAAAGAUGUGUUCUGCUUCCUCUGCUGGCUAUGAACACCCCUUCUCAGAGUCUCUUUAUAGUUGUCGAUUCAGUUGAUGAAGGAUGCAACAUUGCUGAAGGGGAACAAAGACCAUCGGGUUUAUCUGGAACUAUAGCAGAUCUUUUAGCCACUCAUCAUGAGUUUUUUCCACCCUGGCUGCUACUCAUCUGCUCAGCUCGCAAGCAAAGUAGAACAGUUACGAAAAUGUUUACAGGUUUCCGUAAAAUAAGUCUGGAUGAUCUUCGUAAGGCCUAUAUUGUGAAGGAUGUUCAACAAUAUAUUCUUCAUCGACUGGACCAAGAAGAAGCAUUGAGGCAACACUUAACAAAAGAAACUGCAGAAAUGUUAAAUCAACUGCAUAUCAAAAGCAGUGGAUGCUUUCUUUACUUAGAGCGUGUCCUAGAUGGGGUAGUAGAAAACUUUAUAAUGCUUAGAGAAAUACGGGAUAUCCCUGGAACUUUAAAUGGUCUAUACUUAUGGCUUUGUCAAAGACUGUUUGUAAGAAAACAGUUUGCAAAAGUUCAACCAAUUUUAAAUGUCAUUCUGGCAGCUUGUAGGCCUUUAACAACAAUAGAACUUUUUCAUGCAGUUUGGACCAAAAAUAUGUCAUUAACUAUGGAAGAUUUUCAACGAAAACUGGAUGUACUAUCAAAAGUUUUAGUAGAGGGAUUAGGAAAUACAAAAAUCCUUUUUCAUUAUAGUUUUGCAGAAUGGUUACUUGAUGUGAAACACUGCACUCAGAAAUACCUAUGUAAUGCAGCAGAAGGACAUCGAAUGCUUGCAAUGAGCCAUACAUGCAGGGCAAAAGAACUGACACCUGUAGAAGUUCAAGAAUUCGCUUUGCAUCUCAUACACUCAAAUUUGCAGUUAACAAAUUCAGAGCUAGCUUUAUGGAUGAUCUGGAAUGGAACAUGUGUAAAAGAUUCACUAUGUACUGUAAUACCAAAGGAGCAAGAGGUGCUACAAUUAUUAGUUAAAGCAGGUGCUCAUGUUAAUAGUGAAGAUGACAGAACAUGUUGCAUUGUAAGACAAGCUUUAGAAAGAGAGGAUUCAAUACGCACAUUACUGGAUAAUGGUGCUUCUGUUAACCAAUGUGAUUCAAAUGGAAGAACUUUAUUGGCUAAUGCUGCCUAUAGUGGCAACCUUGAUGUGGUCAACUUACUUGUUUCAAGAGGAUCUGAUCUUGAAAUUAAAGAUGCAAAUGGACAAACUGCACUUACAUUAGCAGCUCGUCAAGGGCACGUAAAGGUUAUUAAUUGCUUAAUUGGAUGUGGCACAAAUAUAAAUCAUUGUGAUCAUGAUGGAUGGACAGCUUUACGAUCAGCAGCAUGGGGUGGGCAUACUGAGGUAGUCUCUGCUCUUUUGUAUGCUGGAGCCAAAGUUGAUUGUGCUGAUGCAGAUAGUCGAACAGCUUUAAGAGCAGCAGCAUGGGGUGGCCAUGAAGAUAUUGUUUUAAAUCUGUUACAGCAUGGGGCUGAAGUUAAUAAAGCAGACAAUGAAGGUAGAACAGCCUUAAUAGCUGCUGCAUACAUGGGACAUAGAGAAAUUGUUGAACAUCUUUUAAGUCAUGGUGCAGAAAUUAAUCACGAGGAUGUGGAUGGACGAACAGCUUUGUCAGUUGCAGCACUUUGUGUACCUGCAAGCAAAGGACAUGCAUCGGUAGUUGGCCUACUUAUUGAAAGGGGUGCUGAAGUAGAUCAUUGUGAUAAGGAUGGAAUGACUCCUCUACUUGUUGCAGCCUAUGAAGGACAUGUAGAUGUUGUUGAUCUACUUUUAGAAGGUGGGGCAGAUGUUGAUCACACUGAUAAUAAUGGCCGUACUCCCUUGCUUGCUGCGGCUUCUAUGGGACAUGCAUCAGUUGUUAAUACACUUUUAUUUUGGGGUGCAGCAGUAGAUAGCAUUGACAGCGAAGGUAGAACUGUUCUUAGUAUAUCUUCAGCUCAAGGAAAUGUUGAAGUUGUGCGAACUCUUCUAGACAGAGGUUUAGAUGAAAAUCACAGAGAUGAUGCUGGUUGGACUCCAUUACAUAUGUCUGCUUUCGAAGGCCACAGAUUAAUAUGCGAAGCACUAAUUGAACAAGGUGCUAGAACAACUGAAAUUGAUAAUGAUGGCCGCAUACCUUUAGUGUUGGCUGCACAAGAAGGACACUAUGAUUGUGUUCAAAUAAUUUUGGAAAAUAAAUCUGCAGUUGAUCAAAAGGGAUAUGAUGGUAGGAAUGCUCUACGAGUUGCAUCACUGGAAGGACACAGGGACAUAGUUGAAUUGCUGUUGAGCAAUGGCGCAGAUAUAAACUCCAAAGAUGCGGAUGGGCGACCAACACUUUAUAUACUGGCUUUGGAAAACCAGCUUACAAUGGCUGAAUAUUUUUUAGAAAAUAGAGCAGAUGUUGAAGCUAGUGAUGCUGAGGGAAGAACAGCUCUCCAUGUAUCUUGCUGGCAAGGGCAUUUGGAGAUGGUGCAAAGUAUUUUAUCAUACAGGGCUGAUGUCAAUGCAUCAGACAAUGAAAAGCGCUCAGCCUUACAGUCUGCUGCUUGGCAAGGUCAUGUAAAAGUUGUACAGCUAUUAAUAGAACACGGGGCCUUAGUUGAUCAUACCUGUAAUCAAGGUGCUACUGCACUUUGUAUUGCUGCCCAGGAAGGUCAUACAGAUGUUGUCCAAGUUUUGUUGGAACAUGGUGCUGACCCAAACCAUGCAGAUCAGUUUGGACGUACAGCUAUGAGAGUUGCAGCAAAAAAUGGACAUUCUCAAAUAAUUAAACUGCUAGAGAAAUAUGGAGCCUCUACACUUAAUGGUUGUAAUCCAUCACCAAUUCACACAAUGGAACAAAAAGCCUUAAAUCCAUCAUCAACAAAGGUGCAGUCGUCAACAAUGAAGUCUAAUAGUUCUUCUAGCACAGGUGGUGGUGAUGUGCAUAAUGUGCGUGGAUUAUGUAAUGGACCUUCUCAUGCUUUCAGUUCUCCAUCAGAAUCUCCAGAUUCUACUGUAGAUCGCCAAAAGUCUUCUUUGUCUAAUAACUCCUUAAAAAGUUCUAAGAAUUCUUCUCUUCGUACAACUUCCUCUACAGCUACAGCCCAAACUGUGCCUAUUGAUAGUUUCCAUUGCCUUUCUUUUACAGAGCAAAUUCAACAACAUUCACUACCAAGAAGCAGAAGUAGACAAUCUGUAGUUUCCCCUUCUUCCACAACACAGUCACUGGGACAAAACAAUAGUUCACCUAUCAGUGAGUUUGAAUGGAGCCAAGUAAAGCCUUGUUUGAAAUCAACGAAAGCUAAUAAAAAAGAAGGGAAAGGAGAACUGUCAAACAAAUCUGGUUCUGUGGGUAAAAAAAAUAAGCAAAGUAGCUGUUCUCAACCUAUGGUUUUAGAGUAUGAAAUGACUCAGUUUGAUAAACAUGUACCUAGUUCUGUAACAAAUAUAAACACACCAUUAAAACAAGUUACAGCAGACACAUCUGCAAAAAUCCAAAUUCCAUCAAUCCAACAGGAAAUUGGUCGUUCUCAGCAACAAUUCCUUAUUCAACAGCAAAGUGCCGACCAGAAGAAAAGGAAUGGUAUUCUGACUAACCCUAAUUAUCACCUUCAAGGAAAUCAGGUUUUUCUUGGUCGUGUUUCUGUACCAAGAGCUGUGCAAGGUCGAGGACAUCAAGAAGUUUUAGAUGGUUACCCUUCAACUGAAACGGAAUUAGGCCUUAAACAAUCGCUAAAGCUUCAAAUUGAAGGAACUGAUCCUAGCUUUAACUAUAAAAAGGAAACCCCACUAUAAAUGAAUCCCUUGCUGCAUUGGAAACCGUGUAUUCCAGAGGCUUUCUGUGGGAAAAAUAGGUCUUCUGGCCUGUCUAGAUUUGAUAUAUGAAGCACAAGCAAAGAAUUUAAAUUGCCGGGAGAACUUCAUCCGGGAUCUCCACAUCUAUAAUUUAGGCCUUCAAAGGAAACUGGUGUAGACUGUGACUUCUAAAGUAAAAAUCUACUUGACAAUUGCUUUAAAAUGCCUUGUUGUAGGCUCCUUUAUGUUAAAUAAUUGUGCUUAAAGGGUUUGACCGCCCAAAACUUUCUAACUCCAUCAUAAUGCUGAAGUGUUUAGUACACCAUUAUGCACUUUCAAGUAGUGUUUCAAAUCUAGAAAAGAUGGUGAAACAUGCGCAAAAGUGCUAAUUUACAUAAGCAGCCAUACAGUCUCCAGUGAGUCGAUAAACCCUAUAAAUAAAGGAAAAUGGCGUAUUUACAAUAAAUCACAAAGGUUUUUCUGGGAAAUAAUUGAUAAAUGUGCACCUAGAUUAUACCAAAGUGCUCAUAUGUAUGUUAACACUUUAGUUUCAUACUGAAGUAACCGGUUUAUAGAUGUUGGCUUCCCUCUUACGAUGGAUUGUGCACAGAAAAAGCACUUUGUUACUUACUGCAGGAUAAAGUUACCCCACAAAAAAUAAUAAGCCUUUAUGUUUUAAGAUUCAUAUUUCAUUGUAAUAUUGUAACGCUGGUAGUUAUUUUCUCAAUUUGUGAAACACUUGCAGCUAAAUGUGUUUUCAAAUUGCAUUAUUCAAUAUGUUUUGCAGUUUUGUUAAAUUGUUCUGCAGUGUUCCAAAAGUUUGUCCGUUACUUUUAUUAUUUUUAUCUUAUUAUGUUAUUUUAUUUGCAGCAGAUAUAAGAAUGAGAAGCCUUCAACUUAUUUUCCUGCAGUAUUUACUUAAAAUAAAUUCCUGAUGGCUCACGUGCCAUAGUUUUUCAAGCCCAGGACGCAAACUGAGUUAGACUAUUUCUUUUUUAUUUUUUUGCAGUGGAGUUGAAUGUAUUAUGCUCACUUUUCUAAUUAGCAUAUUUAUCUACCACUGAAGUGUUCAGUGUUACAUAUAGCUGGUGUAAACGUUCUCAAUGCUUAUUUAAAUAUAUUUUGUGACCUGUUAAAUUGUCUUUGUCCAGUUUGAGGAAGAGUAAGUAUGUAGUUUACCUGUUGUGUCAAAAGUGAACAUGUACAAGUGUACAACCUAAAAUGACUGUGGUUAUAUAUAUUUUUUUUUUAAAGAAUUAAGAGACGUUAGUGCCAUAUAUUUAUUUCCAUUUAAAGCACUAGAGUAGUCAUGAUUUGGCCUCUGCUGAGGGAGUAAGUUAUCAGAGAUUUGAUUUUUUUUUUUUUUUUUUUGUCCCUGUGGGAUGUAUAAUUAAUAACAAUAACAAGUUCUUAAUAGCCUUAAGAAUGCAAUUGGCUAGUUAGAGACUAUUUUAUACUGCUUAGUCAUGUUUCUCUAAUGUACAUGCUUUGUGUUGUGUAAAAAAAAAAAAGCUCUAAAAGCUGCCAUUUUCUACUGAUUAAUUUUGAGUAUUUAUUUAUUUUGUAUUUGGCAAAACACACCUUUGCCCCUUUUCGGACAAACAUACCCAUUUUUACAAGGGAACUUUGUUCCUUUUAUGAUUAUCACAUAGGAAAAAAGUAAAGUAUAAUAUAUACAGGCAUCUAAUCUCUGCCAUCAACUCCUCUGCAUACUUAUAGCAUUAUAAUGCACCUCUUAAAAUACUGUUUAACUUUAUCAUUUUAUUUUAAAUAUUCCCAAAAUAUGAACUUGUUUUCUUGACAAAACCACUAGUUAGCCUAAUCAGCUGCAAUACCAUGCACAAUGUCUCAAUAGGAAGAAGUGGAUAACUAAAAGCUCUCUGAUCAUUUAAACUCAAAUGCAUGGUAGGGAUUUGCUCAACUAUUUGGUAUUAUUCUGCUCAUUACAGUAUUUAAGUUUGUUUGUAUUGUGAAUAUGUUAUUUCUCAAACAUUUACUCUGCUAUGCAAAUGUAUUUUGCUCAAAAUGGCAUCCUCAAUGAAAAUAUUUCAUUUAACCUUUUUUUGCAGUUUUUGAUUGUAAAUAAACAAUGUAAAUUUAAUUAAACAUUGUAAUUUUUUAUUUUAUUCCUUGUAUUAUAUUCCAGCAAAAGAUUCCUAUGUAUAUGAAAGUGCAUAAUAAAUAUAUUUGCUUUUCA